ensembl:rRNA 5S_rRNA 5S ribosomal RNA
GCUUACGGCCAUACCGCCCUGAAUGCGCCCGAUCUCGUCCGAUCUCGGAAGUCUAGCAGGGUCGGGCCUGGUUAGUACUUGGAUGGGAGACCGCCUGGGAAUACCAGGUGCUGUAAGCU